rnacentral:rRNA from 1 species
CUUAACACAUGCAAGUCGCGGGGUAACAUCUGGUAGAGCUUGCUCUUCCAGGAUGACGACCGGCGCACGGGUGAGUAACGCGUAUCCAACCUGGCCCAUACCACGGGAUAGCCCGUCGAAAGGACUGCUAAUACCGAAUAUUGUAGAGUUUCCGCAUGGGGAUCCUACUAAAGAUGGCCUCUACUUGUAAGCUAUCGCUUUGCGAUGGGUCUGCGUCUGAUUAGCUAGUUGGUGGGGCAACGGCCUACCAAGGCGACGAUCAGUAGCCGGUCUGAGAGGAUGAACGGCCACAUUGGAACUGAGACACGGUCCAGACUCCUACGGGAGGCAGCAGUGGGGAAUCUUCCGCAAUGGGCGAAAGCCUGACGGAGCAACGCCGCGUGAGUGAAGAAGGUCUUCGGAUCGUAAAGCUCUGUUGUCGGGGACGAAUGUUGAGAUCUAGAAUAUAGAUUUCAAAUGACGGUACCUGACGAGGAAGCCACGGCUAACUACGUG